rnacentral:lncRNA from 1 species
AGGUUUUCAAUUUGGAUUUUAAAUUUUGAGUUUAAUCUAACACCCAAAAUUAUAACACAACUGAACAUGAUUUUGAGUUUGACCCAACACUCAAACAUUAAAUCCAACCGGACAUGAUGCAAACUAAAAAAAGAAAAAAAAAUAAGUUGAAAAGAUCUGGCCGUUGGAUUAUCCGAACUUGCAAGCGACCAUUGGAUUAAAGUGUCCGUCAGGGCGGACAGAUAAUGAGUCCGCACCCGAGCGAGACUGCAAUUAGCGAGUUGAUUAUCAUAGAAAAGAUGAGGUGUACAUUACAUCAGAUAUAAGGAAGGAAAUAAUGAAUGGAUUACGGGCCGAGUGAAACUGUAGUUGUUGUAAUGGUAGUCUGUAGCGUGGACGGCAGUACAUUGGAGAGAGACAGGAAUACUGGAAUGAGUUGAGGUUGCAUGGGAAGGAAAUAAUGAAAGAGAUUCGCAACAUCUGGAAGGAAACGGCAUCGGGAAGCGUGUCGUUGGGAUGAACCCCCUGUCGUCACCUCAUCUAUUCUAGCCAUCAUCUAUCUAACCUCCCAUCCACCCUCGGCAACCCCAUUUAAUUUUGACACCGACCUGUUUCCUUCCUUGUCUCUCUGUCUCAUCUUCUUCACCAACAUUUUUGUUCCCCAAAUAUAAAGACUCUCUUCCUCCCAAACUACUUCCUCACUCACUCUUUCUCUCAACAUUCCUCCUCUUUCUCUCCAAAUUCCGCCAUGGCUGCCACUGACCUCAAGUCCCUCUACAUCAUUGACCAACUCAAAGGAUUCCUCGAGACUGACGAAGGCCAGGAGAUCAAGAAGAAGAUCAAUCUCGUCUAUCAGUUCAACAUCGCCCCCAAGGUCUGUCUCAAUUCCACCCUUUUUUCCUCGCUCUCUCUCUCUCAAUUCUCCUUCUUUCUUCCUAUAUAUCUCACACUUCUUCUGCAGAAAAUUGGGUUCGAAGAGGUGAUUUACACUAUUGAUCUCAAGAAAGGAGAGGUCACUCAAGGUAAAUUAGGGUUUCUCCACCCCAUAUUUACACUCUAUUUCUCUUGUUCUACUUGUCAUAUAUCUGAUCAUUUCCAUUAGAGGAGGCUAGUUUCCGCCUGUUGCUCCUUUUUUGGGGAGUGGGCAAUCGGGAAUGUUAAUUUCAAUUGGAAAAGUUGGCAUUUUUGUCUGAUCCUAAGAACACCAUCUAAAUUCGCCACUUUGGAUGUGCCCCACCAAGCUCUACGUACCGUCAACAGAGAAAAGCUUGUGAUAUCUUCCUCCACUAGUACCAAUUCAAUUGGGUUCCUUUCCCGCAAUAUUUGAUGUCUGAUCUGUGACUGUGUUUAUGUCUCCGUUAGACACUGGGAAUUGAUGAUUGUUGGGACUUGUUUCUUUUUCUUCUUCUUGCUCGUGUUGUAUGUUUAGGUCCAUAUGAAGGAGGGAAAGCUGAUGCUGUAUUUUCAAUCAAGGAUGAUGAUUUUGUGAAGCUUGCAUUGGGGAAGAUGAACCCUCAGAUUGCUUUCAUGAGGUUAGGGCUACAACCAUUCUUAUGGUUUGAAUUUCACCUGCUUUGAUUUGAUUUGAUUUCUGACGAUGGGAUUUGAUGGAUGAUGUUGGAUUGUGAACAGGGGAGCUCUGAAGAUCAAGGGCAGCUUGAGUGCAGCUCAGAAGUUCACUCCCGACAUCUUCCCAAAGCCUGCCAAGAUGUGAGAAACGAGAAAAGCUUAUGUUAUCCAUUUCGUCAAUGUUGUUGCCAGGAUAAGUUCAGUAGUCCCUUUUCGUUAAAAAGAAUUCGGAAUAGAGAAGAAAGUGUCUCCAUCAACACGUAUGAUCUUUCGUUUGAAUGUAAUCGAUGGGGAAAUUGCUACGGUGUUUUACAUCCGAACAAAUCAUAAUAUUGCUCUCAAAUUCAUCUUUUUUUCUCAUUUCCUGUCCCAACAACUCAUGGUUUGGAGAAAUGGGAUACGGUCCCAGUGUUCAUUUCUGCAACUCGUUACUGACACGUCCAUAAGCCUGAGAUGGCUACUGCUGGUGUACUCUUAAUUGGUUUGAAAGAUUGGAGUAGCAGAUACUUAAGCUCGCCCUACCAGCAUACCUUGUUUUAGUUCGAACCAGGAGUUGCAGUCAGUCUCACAGAACUGACUGCAACUAGUAAUGUAAGGGGCCAGCUGAUAGCAUUGGUUGUGCAGGGUACUGAUGAUAAGACUACAAGCUGUCAAUUAAUUACGGUCCUGAAAAUUUGGUUGGAAUCAGCUUAAAGAGUUAAGACUACAAGUUGUCAAUUAAUUAUUGUCCUGGAAAAAUUGGUUGGAAUAAGCUUCGUCUGAAAACGAUCACUCUUCAAGGCUCACCAAUCAACCAUAAUAUCAAGUGUAUUUUUGUAUUAAAUUUGUGCAAAUUCUCAUACUAAAUACCUACUAGUAUGCUAUAUCUUAUCCCUUAAGAAAAUUCAAAUAGUGAAUUCAAAGCCUCUGCUCCCAAUCUUGUAAGCGGAGCAAGCAAGCACCCACUUUCGUAUACGAUGUUUCUUGGCUGCUCAAGUGGAUUUCAUAUUUCAAAAGUAGACAAAUUCUGGAAAACCUCAGUGAGAAAGUUGGAGUCGCUUCAGUCCGAAAAGUCACCCAUGACAAUGAAAUCGGAAAGCAGACACCUUCCAUAUUAUGGCCGUCUCAUUUGGUAACCACCAAUUUAUGGUUAUGGAACCAUUAUUAUCGCUCCGUUCUUACUCGCACUUAGAUUGCUCAAACACGCAUAGAGGAAGGUUAUCUUGGCCUGUAGCAGUAACUGUGGAAACAUGGAUUCACACUGCAGCUCUCAACCAGUUUAUAUAUACAACCAAGGCAAGAAUCAAACUCGAAGCAGCACGGUAACUGAUAGGAAAAAUGAACAAGCUUGCAACUACCUGGCUCUGUUUCUUCUCCAUCUUCCUCUGCUUCUCCCCUUCGCAGUCCACUCCUGCCAUCCUAUUUCAGGGAUUCAAUUGGGAGUCAAGUAGCAAGUCAGGAGGAUGGUAUAACUCACUCCAGAAUACAACUUCUGACCUCGCCGCCGCCGGAGUUACCCAUGUCUGGCUUCCUCCGCCGUCUCAGUCAGCUGCCCAGCAAGGUGGGUUACUGUCCUUGAAUUAAUCAUCCCCUCUCACAAACUUAUUUCAGUAACACCCAAAAAUCGGCCCUUUAUUUCAGGAUACCUUCCAGGAAGGCUGUACGAUUUGAACGCGUCGAGCUACGGAAACCAAUCCGAAUUACAAUCCCUAAUUUCAAACCUGAAUCAGAAAGGAAUCAAAGCCAUCGCAGAUAUCGUCAUCAAUCAUAGGACAGCCGAGAGGAAAGACGACAGAGGGAUAUGGGCAAUUUUCGAAGGCGGCACCCCGGACGAUCGCCUCGAUUACGGCCCAUCCUACAUCUGUAAGGACGACACCGAGUAUUCCAACGGACAGGGGAAUCUCGAUUCCGGUGCAGGCUUCGCUGCUGCCCCGGAUAUGGACCAUCUAAACCCUAGACUCCAGUCCGAGCUCUCCGAUUGGAUGAACUGGCUCAAAACGGACAUCGGAUUCCACGGCUGGAGAUUCGAUAUGGUGAAGGGUUACGCUGCAGGUGUGUCCAAGUUAUAUAUGGAGCGGACGACGCCGGAGUUCGCGGUGGGGGAGAAGUGGGAAUCGCUUGCUUACGGUCCAGACGGAAAGCCUGAUGUGAACCAGGAUGCUCACCGUUGGGAUUUGAAGGAUUGGGUUGAGGGUGCAGGUGGAGUAGUGAAGGCAUUCGAUUUCACAACGAAAGGGAUUCUUCAGGCUGCUGUGGAAGGGGAGCUGUGGAGGUUGAAGGACUCGAAUGGAAACCCACCAGGGUUAAUUGGGUUGAUGCCUGAUAACGCAGUAACGUUUGUAGAUAAUCACGAUACUGGUUCCACUCAAAAUCUUUGGCCGUUCCCGUCGGAUAAAGUUAUGCUAGGAUACGCAUACAUCCUUACACAUCCUGGAACUCCCACCAUCGUAAGUAAUUUGUCAUUUGUUUCUUUUGGAGUAUUCAACAUUUGGGGUUUGAAUUGGAAUUAUUUUGGUGGUAUAGUUCUACGAUCACAUGUUCGAAUGGGGGAUGAAGGAGCCGAUCACAAAGUUAGCAGCUGUGAGGAAUGCUUACGGGAUUACGUCCAACAGCAUCGUCAACAUCUUAGCUGCUGAAUCCGACCUAUAUGUUGCUGCCAUUAAUGAUGAUGUUAUUAUGAAAAUCGGACCCAAAAUGGACUUAGGGAAUCUCAUUCCUGCCAAUUUUGAGCCUGUUACGUGGGGUGAUAGUUUCUGUGUUUGGAUCAGGAAGUAAUUGUAAAGGUUAAAAUAAACCUCAUUCACUCUUGCCCUCGCGAAGCUAGAAAAUAAACCAAAGGGGUUUUAAAGCUUAGCUCUUUUUAGAGUAUUAGUUUGAAUGGCUGGGCGAUGCCGCGAAACAUAAAAUUGAUUAUAAUUAGAUAUUACGUAUUUGUAUUUGGUUUAACUUUUAGAUUAGCGAAGUUAGUGAUGAAGGAUUAUGAAGAGGUUAUCGAAUGUUUGAUGAAGAAAAUGAUUCUCCUCAAUAGAAUGUUAUACUGAUACAACAACCCAGGUGAUUGCCAUGUUUGAGCAGCUAUUUAAUGGAGCAAACUCCUUCACAUGUCCAUUCGUGAGAACAAUUUGAAAUGACGUGUGGUUGGUAAUCUUAUAAAUUGCGCCUAUAGUUAGCAAAGGAGUUUGCUCCAUGAAAGAACUUCUCAAAAUUCGAGUCGAGUUCCGUUUCCUUCUACUUUAGUUGACCGCUUAGCUAAGCACCCUGAAAGUUAAGGUUCCUUGAAGUUUAUGGCCUAUCUCGACUCGGACUUGUAGCUCCAGAAACCCAAAUAAAGGCAGAGGUCAGUGCCGUAGGAGAUUCGGUUUUGAUUCCUGCCACUUGCGGCUUCAUCACCACAAAUUGCCCAGUGAAGAAUAGAAGGAAAGUGGUAGAUCACUAUUAGAAAGCCCUUCUUUUGCUAGCCAGAUGAAAGACAACGAACAAGAUCAGAGGUAGAGAAGAAUGGGAAGUUGAAAAGGAACUAAAAAGGGAAGAGAGAAGAUAAGAAUUCAGUUACAGCUCAAUUAAAACUUAAGACAAUUAAAAAAUGGGCCAAUGAUACUGUUUCUAAACAAUUUUUCUAAACGGCGGAAAAGUAUUUAUAUCCGUAGGGUGGACAGGUUAAAUCCAACAACUAGAAAUGUACUUAACUAACUUUUCAAUCCAAUGGUUAAUAUUUGAUGGAGGGAUUUUAACAUUAUCAUAAAAUGUACAUGAUAUUUAGGUUAAUAAUCUGAACUUGUUUUUUCAAAAAAAUUAUAUAAAGUAUAUCAAAAUUAAUCUCAUUAGAUUUAAAAAAUUAAAAUAAACAAUAUUUAUAGAUUUAAAUUUAUGUUUUGAUGAUUUCGUAAAGAAUUAUCAAGAUUAAACUAACACAAAGGAAUAUUGAAAAAAAGAAAGAAAAAAAAAAAAAAAAAAAAAAAAAAAAAAAAAAAAAAAAAAAAAAAAAAAAAAAAAAAAAAAAAAAAAAAAAAAAAAAAAAAAAAAAAAAAAAAAAAAAAAAAAAAAAAAAAAAAAAAAAGAGAGGAAAAAAAAAAAAAAAAAAAAAAAAAAAAAAAAAAAGUAAACGGUAAGUAAAAAAAAAAAGUAAAAAAGAAUUAUAUUUUUUAAUUUCCUCCCACUAUUUCACAUUUCCUCCCACUUGUUUUAAUUCCGGCCCAAUCAAUUUAGCAUUUUUUACAGUCCAAAACAACUCAUUAUUCAUAUAUGCU